rnacentral:rRNA from 1 species
GUCGAACGUUGUUUUCGGGGAGCUGGGCAGAAGGAAAAGAGGCUCCUAGCUAAAGUGUUCGCCCCUGCAAUCAAAGAAAGGGCUGCGCUAACGCGAACGGCUUUCGCGCUAGGGCGGCUCACGGCUUUGAGUUUUCAGCCGGAAUCCGAAUAGUUGAGAACAAAGUGGC